CUAGUACUCCCUCCGUUCGGAAAUACUUGUCAUCAAAAUGAAUAAAAUGAGAUGUAUCUAGACGUAUUUUACUUCUAGAUACUUUCCUUUUUAUUCAUUUUGAUGGCAAGUAUUUUCGGACAGAGGGAGUAGUAG
rfam:Triticum aestivum genome assembly, contig: Triticum_aestivum_CS42_TGACv1_scaffold_210554_3AS